AAAGCGUGCGCAGGCGGUUUUGUAAGUCUGAUGUGAAAUCCCCGGGCUCAACCUGGGAAUUGCAUUUGUGACUGUAUAGCUGGAGUGCGGCAGAGGGGGAUGGAAUUCCGCGUGUAGCAGUGAAAUGCGUAGAUAUGCGGAGGAACACCGAUGGCGAAGGCAAUCCCCUGGGCCUGCACUGACGCUCAUGCACGAAAGCGUGGGGAGCAAACAGGAUUAGAUACCCUAGU
rnacentral:rRNA from 1 species